rfam:Sclerotinia sclerotiorum 1980 scaffold_3 genomic scaffold, whole genome shotgun sequence.
GCGUUUGUGGUUUAGUGGUAAAAUCCAUCGUUGCCAUCUUCUUCUCUCCUGAUCAGGAAAGAGAUCCGGAAUAACGUCGAUGGGCCCCGGGUUCGAUUCCCGGCGAACGCA